AACAAUGGCAGUUUAUUGGAUAAUUUUGAAAGAAAUGGGUUACAUUUUGUAGAAAAUCGAUUCCAGUACAAUAGAAGAUUUCUAUGGAAUCCCAUCAGACUUGCAGAAGAAUUCCGAGACAGGCUACAUAUUGUUUUAUCAGUCGAGAGAGUAGACAUCAUCUCCAUAUUGUACAGAACCUCCAGGCCUGGUCCACUGGCAAUCAGCUGUUUUCAUCCCUUGUAUAUUACAAGGAGAAUUCUGUCACUACGGCGAUGUGGUAUUUGUGAAUAAGUGACCAGAGGUAUUCGUUGUCGUUUCUUUCUCUGUCUGAUGGAUGUGCUUAACGGGUCACAUUGUUAUGAAAAUUUACUUCAUUUCUCCGUGUGAUAUUGUUGUAUUCACGUUCAUUGAUCAGUGGUAUUCCAAAAUAGCGGUUUACCACAGAGUUAUAAAUGGUUUUCCAUUAUAUAAGAUAUGCCAUAUUGAAUGUGUAUGGUGUGAUAUUUUUGCUUUAUUUGACCUCAUUUAAUGAUCAUGCCAGGGAUGAGAAUGUAGAAAUGAUAGUCAUAAUAUAAAAACAAAUAUUAUUUGAUCUUCAACAUUUUUGAAUUUGCUGUCAUGAUAUUGUUUCGUAUUGGAUAUAGGUAUGAUGAAUAAUUGAUGAUGCUCUGAUGAAUUUUUAAUGGAAAAGUUAGAUGCUGGUGAACAUUUACUCUAAUAGUGCAAUGUUAGCAUUUAACCGCUGUUUUAUUAUGUUAUUUUAAAUCAUUCCUCAUAUUUACAUGCAGAUAUUUUAUACAUAUUACUUGCAUGUACAUUAAGCAUUAUUCUAAAAUAAUUAUUUUAUACUGAAAAAGUACUGAAGUAUACUAGAUCAUUUUUAUGAUGAUUGUGAAAAAGCAGUUUUUUAACAUGUUUAAAGUAAAUUUUCAAUUAGAGAUGAGAAAAAUACAAAUUUUUACUAAAAUUCAUGAUAUUUGGUCAGACAUUAUUAUUGCUCUACUUGACAAGCUGAGAUCUACAAAGAAUCCUUUGAAAGGAGUAAGAUAAAUAGAUCUAAAUUCAUUAUAUCAUUUUUUUUCUAUAAAGUUAGUGCUAAUGAAAUAUGGUACACAAAGAUAAAUUGUAUUUUACACUAAGGUCUUAAGCCCUCAAGCAUCUUGCUGAACUUUUGUUGUAUGCUUAUUUAAUAUAUUUAGAAAUAAUUAUUAUCCCUUUUGUUAACAAACAUACCAUAAGUAUUGAUACUGUGAAACGAUUAUUUAUGUACCUUCGAAAAUUUAAAUGAUGUAGUAGCUGAAGUUGAAGUGAUUGUAAAUUGAUCCUUGUAAUGAACUGCUCUAUUGUAAUGCUGUGUCACCAACUGCUUCUCUGUUUAUGGGAAUCUUUUAUAUUAAUCAUGUGUUGAUUUUAUUGUACAUGUAGUGUUUUCAUCAUUCCUAAGGGAAGCGUUUGGUCCUUCACCUUAAAUAUAUACAUGUAGAUAAUAGUUAAGAUGUCAGGUGUGACUGGCACAGUAACACUUAUGUGGGUCAAUCUUCAUUUUACUACAGAUAGUUAAGAUGUCAGGUGUGACUGGCACAGUAACACUUAUGUGGGUCAAUCUUUCUUUUACUACAGAUAGUUAAAAUGUCAGGCAUGUCUGGCACAGUAACACUUAUGUGGGUCAAUCUUUCUUUUACUACAGAUCUUUCACUUAUAACCAAUCUAAGGUAACAGGUUUACUCUUAGUGACUUAGUUCUCAUAGUGGGUUUAUCUUUCCCAUGAUAAAAUUCUGUACGAAAGAAUGUCUCUGCAUUAAUCACUGGUCGAUUUACUUUUGUUCUCAAAGUAUGUUUUCUGAUAACUCAUUUUCUAAGUAGAUCAUGUUUAAAGGAGAGCAAACUAUAAGAAAGUUUCAUAAAUUUGCAUAUUUCACAUAAACAUGUAGCAGAUUAUCAGUUUUUGCUUCUGUCAAUGUGAAUAUUUUACUAGUUGUUUAGUAUCCUCCAAGUGAAAACAAAAAUAAGAUCAGUGCUAUGUAAACCAGAUUUUAUGUUCCAUUUUUAGUACGGAUGAGGAAGAUUUUGUCCUUGUGAAGGGUAACAAAAAAUUGAUAGGAAACGUUUUGCAUCAAUUCAUGUCAUUACAUGCAUAUGUUGUGGUCCCAGCAUUGCUUAUUUUACUGUGGAGUUUGUGAUACUGUCCAGUUUGUGAUAUUACAUCGGACACUCUCUUCUUACAUUGUACAUAUUAACACUGUGGAAUAUUCCAAUUAUGUUGUACAAAUGUAGAUAUUUUCUGUGUACAAACAUGAGAUGUAUAUUUGAUAACCAAGAUAAAAAUGUUUUAAAAUUUCA